UAUAUGUAAUUCUACUUAUUCGUUUUUUAAAAGUUGUCUCAUAGAAGUAAUUUUGUUCGGCAACGUGUAAUGUAAAAUGUGUUGGAAAAUGAUCUCCACAUGGAGAUUGCCCCAUUUUCUACGCAUCCGUGCUUUUACACUUCUUCCUUUCUCGAGUAAACUGAAUGCAACUUCCUGACAACUGCGAGACGUCGACAGACCGUAUCAGCGCGCAAAAGUCGCGUUUCUCGCACCUAUACUGCUCAAGGACCCGGGCAAGGAACACGACGAAGAUCAUACUAUUGUCACGGCCUUGAGAGACGACGCACGUGUACCCGCGCGACGUCUCGCAUCGGCCUUGAAAUUUGUACGGAUCGACAAGUUUUGUGGUGGCCCCUCGCCGCGCUGUUACCAGCGUCUACGUUCGUACAGAGAUAAUCUUUGCUUACGGGAGCUGCUGGAGCGGCCGAUAACAAUGCACUUUUCACUGACUCGAGUCUUUGCUAUGAGACGCUGAUUGCGUCAUCUUCCACGUAUCCUCGUGGAUCAAAGAUAUAUUCGAGAUGGCGAAACGGCAGAAAUUAUGGUUUUGAGAAAAGAAAAACAAGAAGACACGUUAAGUUGGUGUUUCUUAUCAGUUUUGACGAUUUAUUGGCCAAAUCGUGAACGAAGGUGAAAGAUGGAUAGUGAGACUUGCUCGCCGACGCGAGCAUAAAAUUCGCUAAAACGUAGACUAAAACUGUCGCAAGGACGUCGAACGGUUCGUUCAGGUUCGCUACGAGGCGUUUCUCGUGCGUGGCUGGCCUUCAGUUUGACUUCUGCCCGAAAAGAUCGAAGCAUCGUCCGCGGUAUCGCGUCUAUACAUAAUGCUGACAUAAUAUUCCGGCUGGCCACGGUAAAAAAUAAAAUUCCAUGGCCUCGGUGGCCUUCGCGAUUACAAAGAAUCCUGCUGGAACGGCUGGCCGUGCGGAUUUAGGAACAGACGUAUCAGUGGCCGUAGAUAAUCGGACACAGAUAUCGAGAAGAGAUUAGUAUCUUCGACAGGUAGCGUCAAUGUAGAAUCGUUUAAAACGAUCGAGAUCGUUCGAACACCUUUUGUCCUUCUUAUUUAUUUUAUACGAUUGCUCCGAGCCAUAGUUUUUCUGAUAAUUUAUCGUAAUAAAUUCGAUGUUCAGAUCUAUCGUUGAAUAGUAUCGCUGGCUCGCAAGUGAUACGCGCAUUUGUGUCAAGGUACUUGAUUUUAGGGUACUCGAGUUUAACUCGCAUAUUCUGUAUUUUGAAGGAUGAAGGUAAUACGUAUUUCAUUUUGAUUUGUAUAUUAUACUUGGAAGGAUAAAGAUUGAUAAUUUUCUACUCGUAUCGUUGGACUGUGGAUGAUUGGAUGCCAGGUGAAUUACGCUAAGUGAGAAAAUUAAUUAAUUAUAAUUUGCAUAAAAUAUUUUAUGUCGUCGGAAUAGAACCUCCUCGUAGAA